GAUGAACGCUGGCGGCGUGCUUAACACAUGCAAGUCGAACGAUGAAGCCCAGCUUGCUGGGUGGAUUAGUGGCGAACGGGUGAGUAACACGUGAGUAACCUGCCCUUAACUCUGGGAUAAGCCUGGGAAACUGGGUCUAAUACUGGAUAGUAGCGUCCACCGCAUGGUGGGUGUUGGAAAGAUUUAUCGGUUUUGGAUGGACUCGCGGCCUAUCAGCUUGUUGGUGAGGUAAUGGCUCACCAAGGCGACGACGGGUAGCCGGCCUGAGAGGGUGACCGGCCAAACUGGGACUGAGAAACGGCCAAGACUCCUACGGGAGGCAGCAGUGGGGAAUAUUGAACAAUGGGCGCAAGCCUGAUGAAGCGACGCCGCGUGAGGGAUGACGGCCUUCGGGUUGUAAACCUCUUUCAGUAGGGAAGAAGCGAAAGUGACGGUACCUGCAGAAGAAGCACCGGCUAACUACGUG
rnacentral:rRNA from 1 species